GACGAGCGCUGGCGGCGUGCUUAACACAUGCAAGUCGAACGGUGAAGCGCCUUCCUUUUUGGUGGGUGUGGAUGAGUGGCGAACGGGUGAGUAACACGUGAGUAACCUGCCCCCUUCUUCUGGAUAACCGCAUGAAAGUGUGGCUAAUACGGGAUAUUCUGGGUCUGUCGCAUGAUGGGUCUGGGAAAGAUAUUGUUUCGGUGGGGGAUGGGCUCGCGGCCUAUCAGCUUGUUGGUGGGGUGAUGGCCUACCAAGGCGGUGACGGGUAGCCGGCCUGAGAGGGUGGACGGUCACACUGGGACUGAGACACGGCCCAGACUCCUACGGGAGGCAGCAGUGGGGAAUAUUGCACAAUGGGCGCAAGCCUGAUGCAGCGACGCCGCGUGAGGGAUGGAGGCCUUCGGGUUGUGAACCUCUUUCGCCAGUGAAGUAGGCCUGCCUCGUUUGUGGGUGGGUUGACGGUAGCUGGAUAAGAAGCGCCGGCUAACUACGUG
rnacentral:rRNA from 1 species